rnacentral:rRNA from 1 species
CGCAGCAAUGCGUGGCAUACGGCUCAGUAACACGUAGUCAACAUGCCCAGGGGACGUGGAUAACCUCGGGAAACUGAGGAUAAACCGCGAUAGGCCAAGGUUUCUGGAAUGGACACUGGCUGAAACCUAUAUGGCCCCUGGAUUGGACUGCGGCCGAUCAGGCUGUUGGUGAGGUAAUGGCCCACCAAACCUGUAACCGGUACGGGCUUUGAGAGAAGGAGCCCGGAGAUGGGCACUGAGACAAGGGCCCAGGCCCUAUGGGGCGCAGCAGGCGCGAAAAUUCUGCAAUAGGCGAAAGCUUGACAGAGUUACUCUGAGUGAUGCCCGCUAAGGGCAUCUUUUGGCACCUCUAAAAAUGGUGCAGAAUAAGGGGUGGGCAAGUCUGGUGUCAGCCGCCGCGGUAAUACCAGCACCCCGAGUGGUCGGGACGAUUAUUGGGCCUAAAGCAUCCGUAGCUUGUUCUGCAAGUCUUCCGUUAAAUCCACCUGCUCAACAGAUGGGCUGCGGGAGAUACUACAGGGCUAGGAGGCGGGAGAGGCAAGCGGUACUCAGUGGGUAGGGGUAAAAUCCUCUGAUCCACUGAAGACCACCAGUGGCGAAGGCGGCUUGCCAGAACGCGCUCGACGGUGAGGGAUGAAAGCUGGGGGA